rnacentral:misc_RNA from 1 species
GAUGAAGAACGUAGCGAAAUGCGAUAAGUAAUGUGAAUUGCAGAAUUCAGUGAAUCAUCGAAUCUUUGAACGCACCUUGCACCCUUUGGCAUUCCGAAGGGUAUGCUCGUUUGAGUGUCAUUGUACUCUCACACUUCCGAUCUUUGGAUUGGGAGCGGUGGACUUGGUGUUGCUGCUUACUGUGGCUCACCUCAAAUCGAUUCGUGCACCUCUUGGUUGGACAUAGUACGGCGUGAUAAGUGUCUUCGCCGGCACCUCAGUAGAGGGUGGCUGAUCGGGAGCUCUGCUUCAAACCGUCCUCGGACAACAACUGACAACUUGACCUCAAAUCGAGUAGGACUACCCGCUGAACUUAAGCAUAUCAAUAAGCGGAGGA